GUUUGUGGGGCUGGAUCCCACUGGGCAGGACAUCUGCCUAUACCCUGGAAUAAGAAUAUACAGUCUCUUCUAGCACUGACAGUUGUCUCUUUAUGUCGGAUGAGCUAACAGCAGCCACUCCCAUACUGUCGGAUCCUGCUUCCCUUGCCAUAGCUGAUUAACCCAGGGUAAGACACUGGGAAUUGGAAACUUGGAGUGGAAAGACUCUGAUCAUAGUGGUCUCUGGAGCCAAAUCCCAUUCCAUGGCAAUGUUCUGGAAGGUGGAUGAUAAGAGACAGCAGCCGGCAGAAGGAAAGCAGUGAUCUGAACACCUAACGGGAAUCCUAAACAGUGGAGAAAGGAGAGCAAACAUUAAAAACUCAUGGAUAGAAAAAAAGAGGAAAAGAAAACCAUUUGGAAGUGUUCAUUGAGUUGAUGCACUGGAUAAUUUAAUAAGCUGUCUGUUCUGAUCCGUCUUGCUUCCCUGCUUUUAGCAGGGUGCCAUAUGAAAGCUCCUACAUGGAUGAACAUUCAUCCCAUCCGUACCACUUACUGGCC
ensembl:lncRNA LINC01861 long intergenic non-protein coding RNA 1861